GACGAACCGUCCAAACGUUGUUCGGAAUUACUGGGCGUAAAGCGAGUGUAGGCGGUCUGCUAAGUCGGGUGUGAAAGCCCCGGGCUCAACCCGGGAAGUGCACUCGAAACUGGCAGGCUAGAGUACUGGAGAGGUUGGUGGAAUUCUCGGUGUAGAGGUGAAAUUCGUAGAUAUCGAGAGGAACACCGGUGGCGAAGGCGGCCAACUGGACAGAUACUGACGCUGAGACUCGAAAGCGUGGGGAGCAAACAGG
rnacentral:rRNA from 1 species